CCUACGGGUGGCAGCAGUGAGGAAUAUUGGUCAAUGGGCUUACGCCUGAACCAGCCAAGUCGCGUGAGGGAAGACUGCCCUAUGGGUUGUAAACCUCUUUUGUCAGGGAGCAACGCCUGCUACGUGUAGCCGGACUUAUAGUACCUGAAGACAAAGCCUCGGCUAACUCCGUGCCAGCAGCCGCGUUAAUACGGAGGAUGCGAGCUUUAUCCGUUUUUAUGGGGUUAAAGGGGUGCUUGGGCGGAAUGCCAAGUCAGCGGUAAAAUCUCGGGGCAAACCUUCGCUCCGCCGUUGAACUGGCGUUCUUGAGUGGGCGAGAAGUAGGCGGAAUGCGUGGUGUAGCGGUGAAAUGCAUAGAUAUCACGAAGAACUCCGAUUGCGAAGGCAGCAUACCGGAGCCCAACUGACGCUGAAGCACGAAAGCGUGGGUAUCGAACAGGAUUAGAUACCCGGGUAGUC
rnacentral:rRNA from 1 species